CUCUUUGCUCGUCUCAAUUUUUUUUUUCUUCCUCCGUUUUUAAUGUCAUUAGGAUAAUCUUAUGUUAUUGGGCUAAAUUUGGGAAUCUAUCUUUCUGCUUUUCGAGAUUCAUUAGGGAUUCAGUUUGGCUAAUGAAAUUGAUUAUAGCCAUUAUAUUUGCGUAAUCGCUGACCAUUAAGAUACUCUAAACAGAUGUCUUCUUUUAUUUGUUAAUUUUCGUAGGGUAUUCUGGCAUGACAGUUUCGGAAUUUGGUUUUUAAUGUCCCCCCCUUAUGCAUUAGGGAUUCAAAUAAGCAUUCAAAUAGGCAUUCAAGGACUUCCUUAUUUUACCUUUCUUCUACACUUGGAAUUGCCAUAAUAUAAUCAUUGCUGCCUCAUUUACUAUUAGGCAUGAAGGUCCAAAAAAAUACUCAACGUUCCAAAAUUUUAUAAAUCAUUAUUGGAAAAUGCAUCCCUUUUGUUUCUGACUUUCUGAGAUUCAGGAGAGAAAAUUCUAAGCUUACUUUAACUUUAACAAAGUGAAUCCUACUUUGUAAAUAACUACCACUGAAUGAAUUAGUAAUGACUCAUCUAAUUGUCAAGGCAACAAAGUACCAACAAAGUAAGAAAAAAAAAAAAAAAACAAAUACAGUAGCAAACGCAAACAAAAACACUAGAGCCAACAUAUAAACUCUGACCAAUCACAAGAUGUGGAGUUCUUCAUAUUGCAUAGGUGUCCUACGCUGCCUUGCUUCUCCAAUGAAAAUGCCAGUCUACGAGAAGAGAGAGGACAUGGGAAGGAAAUCAAGACUCGAGAACAAUGACUGAGAGAGGAGAAAGCAAAGGGGAAAGAAAUCAAGAGGUAGAGGGCUUGGGAAAGAAAUUGAAAGAUAUCUAGAGGUAGAUAUGCUCACUGGGGAAAGAAGUCGAAGUUGGGAAAGAAAUACACAGUUAGAGAGUAUGGGGAAAGAAUGGGGAAGGGCUUUAGGCUUGAAAAGGUUGGCAGAGUUUCUGAGAGGAGGAGGAGGAGGGAUAUAGAUAAGAGAUAACCUUAUGAUAAAAAAAUGACAACACAUGAGGCAUUUUGGUUCAGUUUGGCUUACAACUUUUUUUUACUCAAAAAUCAAAUCAAAAUAAUUGAAAU
rnacentral:misc_RNA from 1 species